GGGCACUUGGCUCAGUGGUUAGAGCGCUACACUCACAUUGUAGAGGUCAGAGGUCCAAAUCCUCUAGUGCCCA
rnacentral:tRNA from 1 species